CGGAGCGCGGCGGCGGAGCCACGGGGGGACUCGCACCGGGGAUGGAGUUGGCCCUAUUCAGCACUGACAUUCCCGGAGCCCGGCAGAUCCAAACUCAUUAAGGCGGAUAACACCGCCGCUGUUUGUUGUGACACUGUUUGUGUGAGUGACGAGCGAAGGGUUAACUCCAGGGAAUUGGGAAUACUGCCUGGCUGCUAAUAACACGUGAGUCACCGCCGGAAUAACACAUGGGUGCAGGGAGAGACACAGCACCCAACUGCACAGCAGCCCUCUGCCUUCAGGGUCGGGGUUUGCCGCCUGCAACGACCCCAAAUCCGGGCAGGGGGAGGGGGUCAGCUGCUGGGGUCGAGCCCCGCAGCACGGAAUUACCACACCCCCGAACCCAUCAGCUCCAUCCCCGCACCCCGACGGGAUGGGGGUCACAGGGAUGGGGGACGGGGAGGGGACAGAGACCUGCACGCAUCGCUCCCACCUCCUGGAAACCACGCGGAGAGGAGCAGCCCUGCGCUCCAGCCCGGUCAGCAGAGGAAUCUGCACACGCAGACAGGAUCGCUGCAAUCGCUGGUGGCUGAGGAUGAUUCCGACACGAGGAGGAUCCCUCCGUCCUCGCCUCGCCGGGUUUUGCACCGUGUGGAUAUUGCGAGGCCGCCUAUGGCUGCACCUGCCCCUAUAUACAUUGCUAUACCUGCCCCUAUAUAUUGCUAUACCUGCCCCUAUACAUUGCUAUACCUGCCCCUAUACAUUGCUAUACCUGCCCCAUAUACAAUGCUAUACCUGCCCCACACAUAUCCCUGUACCUGCCCCUAUAUAUACUGCUGUGCCUGCCCCAUGUGCUGCUGCACCUGCCCUGCACGUGCAUUGGGACGGAGGGUCGGGUCGGCUGCUGUGCCCAGAAGGUCGCGUGGAAAACAUUCCUUUGCAAGCAAGGAUGGGUUAGAAUGUAAAAGAUUUAUUAAUUUAAUCCGAAGCAUUAAAAGGUCAUGUAUUAAUCAAA